GUACACGUACGGGAACGCCCGGGGGUGGCGGGUGAAGGGCGUCCUGGCGCGGGACGGGGGAGCCACGUGCCUGAGCCUCGCACCCAGGCGGCCCGCGGCGAGGUCUGGAAGGAUCCUGGCCCGGCCCCGAGGAAGGCUCCGUAGGACUUGGUGGGCUGAUCCACGGGGGUCUGCAGACCAGGAUCAGUGGAGGCCCAGUCAGCGUUCGGGCCCAGAGUCUGCGUGUCCUCGAGGACCGACUCUUGCCCUGUGGGUUGUCCACACCGAAGGGAGCCCAGCCCGGGCAACGGGCAUUUCCGGGUGCUUGCGGCUUGGGGGCCUUUCGAGGGCUGAGGGGCGGAAGGGGCCUGUGUGGGCCGCAUUGGGCAAGAACUGCGUGUGCAGGGAAGCUGGCCACUGUCAGACUUGGGGCGACGGCUUGCGCCUGGGCGUGACGGGAAAGCACCCCCUCAGCCUCAGAGUCUGAGCCCUAGGGCGCCUGGGCCUUCGCGCCCCAACUUGCAGGCCACACUCGGCCCAGACAGCCAAUGGGCGGGGCAGUGCCGCAGGCGGGCCCGCGGGGGGGGGGCGGGAGCGCUCGUGCGCGUUCUCCACCAAUCAAGAAGGCUUGAGAGGCCCUGCGGGUGUGACGUAAGUGGGCCGGGCUGAGCGAGCCGCCUGGCGGGGAGCACUUAGUCUCCGCCCGCGGGUUUGCGCCGGAGCUUCGGAAAGGCUGGUCAGGUCAGAGCCAAGGGGUUUGCUUCCAGAAGGCGGGGCCAGUAGGGUCUUUCUCACUUUUCAUGCACCAGAGCCUGGAGCUGAAUGCAGGGAGCCACCAAAGAGAAGCUGAUGUUAACAGUCAUUGUUCAGAGGCCUCAGUUUUCUGGGUGAGAGCACUUUCCAUCUCGUGGCCACAGUGAAGGCUGCAUCAAGGAACAAUAGGAUACAAUGAUGGAGGAAGAGUUUGGAGUCCUGCAGGCCAGGUUAAGUUUAGAGUUUAGCCUGUGGGUAAUCUGGAGCCACUGAUGAUUUCUUGAACAAGGAACAGGUACUGCCUAAGAAACUAGUACAGAACUGUAGCCUGAUGCAAAAAUUUAAACCAGCUUAAAAGUAGUGGGACUCUGUCAGCUCAUGUAAAAAGUAUGGUUACAUGCCAGGCUGGAAUGGUCUGGGAGCAGCAUACCUGAAACAAGGAAGUGCUGAUCCACAGGAAGAUAUGAACUCCAGCUGGACUAAGAAGAUCCAGGUGUUAGGAAAACCAAAAUUGUCUUAUACCUCAAGAUACUUUGUCUUCCUACUCUAAGGCAUCCCAGGACAUUACCAAAUGGAACCCCAACAACUCAUCCUCUGCCCUCAACACCCCUCCUCCUUCAGUAUUCUGAUCCUUCCUUCCAAAGACCUGCCUCCCUCACCACAUGUAGAUUCUUCCAAUAAAGUACCUAUGUGCACUCAUCCUUGGAGCUUCCUGUUCAUCUUCUCCCACAGCCCUCAUCGCCAGGGAUGCUGUCUACUUGUCCCUAGGUGGGAUCUGUACACCACAUCCUUCCCACAUACUGACACUUCACUUCCAAGAAAUAGGCUCUCAGUGAAUGGGUCAGUGGUCCAGCAAGUGUAGCCUGCCCCCUGGUGGCCACCAUGCUGUGAAGUCCUUUUUUUUUGGGGGGGUACCCGGGAAUGAACUCCUGUCCUUGUGCUUGCGCAGCGGACAGUGAAACCACUGAGCUAAAUCCCUGGCCCCUGUGAAGUCCUUUUCAUGUCCAGCUAGAUGUGGAAGAAGGUCUCUACCCGCCAGCUCUUUGAUGUGUACCAUAGCCAGAGUGGGUCAGUUGUGUCUCCCACUCUACCCAACUGUUACGGUUUUCACUUCUGUUCAGCUUUCCCAAGGUGUUUACAGAGAAUCCGUCAGGGAUAUGAGGGCCUAUGAGCUUAUCGGUAGCCAGUAGAGAG
rnacentral:lncRNA from 1 species